UACAACGAGUCGCAAGACCGCGAGGUAUAGCAAAUCUCUUAAAGCCAUUCUCAGUUCGGAUUGUAGGCUGAAACUCGCCUACAUGAAGCUGGAGUUACUAGUAAUGGCAGGUCAGCAUACUGCCGUGAAUACGUUCCCGGGCCUUGUACACACCGCCCGUCACACCAUGAGAGUUGGGAAUGCCCGAAGUCGGUGACCCAACCGUAAGGAGGGAGCCGCCGAAGGCAGGCCUGGUAACUGGGGUGAAGUCGUAACAAGGUAAC
rnacentral:rRNA from 1 species